rnacentral:rRNA from 1 species
GACGAACGCUGGCGGCGUGCCUAAUACAUGCAAGUUGAGCGAUGAAGAUUGGUGCUUGCACCAAUUUGAAGAGCAGCGAACGGGUGAGUAACGCGUGGGGAAUCUGCCUUUGAGCGGGGGGCAACAUUUGGAAACGAAUGCUAAUACCGCAUAACAACUUUAAACAUAAGUUUUAAGUUUGAAAGAUGCAAUUGCAUCACUCAAAGAUGAUCCCGCGUUGUAUUAGCUAGUUGGUGAGGUAAAGGCUCACCAAGGCGAUGAUACAUAGCCGACCUGAGAGGGUGAUCGGCCACAUUGGGACUGAGACACGGCCCAAACUCCUACGGGAGGCAGCAGUAGGGAAUCUUCGGCAAUGGACGAAAGUCUGACCGAGCAACGCCGCGUGAGUGAAGAAGGUUGUCGGAUCGUAAAACUCGGUUGGUAGAGAAGAACGUUGGUGAGAGUGGAAAGCUCAUCAAGUGACGGUAACUACCCAGAAAGGGACGGCUAACUACGUG